GAUGAACGCUGGCGGCGUGCCUAAUACAUGCAAGUCGAGCGAACAGACGAGGAGCUUGCUCCUCUGACGUUAGCGGCGGACGGGUGAGUAACACGUGGAUAACCUACCUAUAAGACUGGGAUAACUUCGGGAAACCGGAGCUAAUACCGGAUAAUAUAUUGAACCGCAUGGUUCAAUGGUGAAAGACGGUUUUGCUGUCACUUAUAGAUGGAUCCGCGCCGCAUUAGCUAGUUGGUAAGGUAACGGCUUACCAAGGCAACGAUGCGUAGCCGACCUGAGAGGGUGAUCGGCCACACUGGAACUGAGACACGGUCCAGACUCCUACGGGAGGCAGCAGUAGGGAAUCUUCCGCAAUGGGCGAAAGCCUGACGGAGCAACGCCGCGUGAGUGAUGAAGGUCUUCGGAUCGUAAAACUCUGUUAUUAGGGAAGAACAAAUGUGUAAGUAACUAUGCACGUCUUGACGGUGCCUAAUCAGAAAGCCACGGCUAACUACGUG
rnacentral:rRNA from 1 species